rnacentral:misc_RNA from 1 species
GAUGAAGAACGUAGCGAAAUGCGAUAAGUAAUGUGAAUUGCAGAAUUCAGUGAAUCAUCGAAUCUUUGAACGCACCUUGCGCCCUUUGGCUAUUCCGAAGGGCAUGCCUGUUUGAGUAUCAUGAACACCUCAACUCUCAUGGUUUGCCAUGAUGAGCUUGGACUUUGGGGGUCUUGCCGGCCUAUGGGUCGGCUCCUCUCAAAUUAAUCAGCUUGCCAGUGUUUGGUGGCGUCACAGGUGUGAUAACUAUCUACGCUUGUGGUUUUCCAUCAGGUAACCUUCAGUGAUGGAGGUUCGCUGGGGCUCAUAAAUGUCUCUCCUCAGUGAGGACAGCUUUUUUGAACGUUUGAUCUCAAAUCAGGUAGGACUACCCGCUGAACUUAAGCAUAUCAAUAAGCGGAGGA